GAAACCCAGUGUGACUCGUCACACUAUCAUUAACUGAAUCCAUAGGUUAAUGAGGCGAACCGGGGGAACUGAAACAUCUAAGUACCCCGAGGAAAAGAAAUCAACCGAGAUUCCCCCAGUAGCGGCGAGCGAACGGGGAGGAGCCCAGAGCCUGAAUCAGCAUGUGUGUUAGUGGAAGCGUCUGGAAAGGCGCGCGAUACAGGGUGACAGCCCCGUACACAAAAGCGCAUGUGCUGUGAGCUCGAUGAGUAGGGCGGGACACGUGGUAUCCUGUCUGAAUAUGGGGGGACCAUCCUCCAAGGCUAAAUACUCCUGACUGACCGAUAGUGAACCAGUACCGUGAGGGAAAGGCGAAAAGAACCCCGGCGAGGGGAGUGAAAAAGAACCUGAAACCGUGUACGUACAAGCAGUGGGAGCACAGGUUUACCUGUGUGACUGCGUACCUUUUGUAUAAUGGGUCAGCGACUUAUAUUCUGUAGCAAGGUUAACCGAAUAGGGGAGCCGGAGGGAAACCGAGUCUUAAUUGGGCGUUAAGUUGCAGGGUAUAGACCCGAAACCCGGUGAUCUAGCCAUGGGCAGGUUGAAGGUUGGGUAACACUAACUGGAGGACCGAACCGACUAAUGUUGAAAAAUUAGCGGAUGACCUGUGGCUGGGGGUGAAAGGCCAAUCAAACCGGGAGAUAGCUGGUUCUCCCCGAAAGCUAUUUAGGUAGCGCCUCGUGAAUUCAUCUCCGGGGGUAGAGCACUGUUUCGGCUAGGGGGCCAUCCCGGCUUACCAACCCGAUGCAAACUGCGAAUACCGGAGAAUGUUAUCACGGGAGACACACGGCGGGUGCUAACGUCCGUCGUGAAGAGGGAAACAACCCAGACCGCCAGCUAAGGUCCCAAAGUCAUGGUUAAGUGGGAAACGAUGUGGGAAGGCCCAGACAGCCAGGAUGUUGGCUUAGAAGCAGCCAUCAUUUAAAGAAAGCGUAAUAGCUCACUGGUCGAGUCGGCCUGCGCGGAAGAUGUAACGGGGCUAAACCAUGCACCGAAGCUGCGGCAGCGACGCUUAUGCGUUGUUGGGUAGGGGAGCGUUCUGUAAGCCUGCGAAGGUGGCCUGUGAGGGUUGCUGGAGGUAUCAGAAGUGCGAAUGCUGACAUAAGUAACGAUAAAGCGGGUGAAAAGCCCGCUCGCCGGAAGACCAAGGGUUCCUGUCCAACGUUAAUCGGGGCAGGGUGAGUCGACCCCUAAGGCGAGGCCGAAAGGCGUAGUCGAUGGGAAACGGGUUAAUAUUCCCGUACUUGGUGUUACUGCGAAGGGGGGACGGAGAAGGCUAUGUUGGCCGGGCGACGGUUGUCCCGGUUUAAGCGUGUAGGUGUGUGUUCCAGGUAAAUCCGGUUCACUUUAACACUGAGGCGUGACGACGAGGCACUACGGUGCUGAAGCAACAAAUGCCCUGCUUCCAGGAAAAGCCUCUAAGCAUCAGGUAACAUCAAAUCGUACCCCAAACCGACACAGGUGGUCAGGUAGAGAAUACCAAGGCGCUUGAGAGAACUCGGGUGAAGGAACUAGGCAAAAUGGUGCCGUAACUUCGGGAGAAGGCACGCUGACACGUAGGUGAAGUGAUUUACUCAUGGAGCUGAAGUCAGUCGAAGAUACCAGCUGGCUGCAACUGUUUAUUAAAAACACAGCACUGUGCAAACACGAAAGUGGACGUAUACGGUGUGACGCCUGCCCGGUGCCGGAAGGUUAAUUGAUGGGGUCAGCGCAAGCGAAGCUCCUGAUCGAAGCCCCGGUAAACGGCGGCCGUAACUAUAACGGUCCUAAGGUAGCGAAAUUCCUUGUCGGGUAAGUUCCGACCUGCACGAAUGGCGUAAUGAUGGCCAGGCUGUCUCCACCCGAGACUCAGUGAAAUUGAACUCGCUGUGAAGAUGCAGUGUACCCGCGGCAAGACGGAAAGACCCCGUGAACCUUUACUAUAGCUUGACACUGAACAUUGAGCCUUGAUGUGUAGGAUAGGUGGGAGGCUUUGAAGUGUGGACGCCAGUCUGCAUGGAGCCGACCUUGAAAUACCACCCUUUAAUGUUUGAUGUUCUAACGUGGACCCGUUACCCGGGUUGCGGACAGUGUCUGGUGGGUAGUUUGACUGGGGCGGUCUCCUCCUAAAGAGUAACGGAGGAGCACGAAGGUUGGCUAAUCCUGGUCGGACAUCAGGAGGUUAGUGCAAUGGCAUAAGCCAGCUUGACUGCGAGCGUGACGGCGCGAGCAGGUGCGAAAGCAGGUCAUAGUGAUCCGGUGGUUCUGAAUGGAAGGGCCAUCGCUCAACGGAUAAAAGGUACUCCGGGGAUAACAGGCUGAUACCGCCCAAGAGUUCAUAUCGACGGCGGUGUUUGGCACCUCGAUGUCGGCUCAUCACAUCCUGGGGCUGAAGUAGGUCCCAAGGGUAUGGCUGUUCGCCAUUUAAAGUGGUACGCGAGCUGGGUUUAGAACGUCGUGAGACAGUUCGGUCCCUAUCUGCCGUGGGCGCUGGAGAACUGAGGGGGGCUGCUCCUAGUACGAGAGGACCGGAGUGGACGCAUCACUGGUGUUCGGGUUGUCAUGCCAAUGGCACUGCCCGGUAGCUAAAUGCGGAAGAGAUAAGUGCUGAAAGCAUCUAAGCACGAAACUUGCCCCGAG
rnacentral:rRNA from 1 species